rnacentral:rRNA from 1 species
CAGCCGCCGCGGUAAUACGAGGGGUGCAAGCGUUAUUCGGAUUGAUUGGGUGUAAAGGGUGUGCAGACGGCUUAUUAAGUCACUUGUUAAAUUCUUAGGCCUAACUGAAGGUCUGCAAGUGAUACUGAUGAGCUAGAGGGUGGAAGAGAGAAGUGGAAUUCUCGGAGUAGCGGUAAAAUGCGUAGAUCUCGAGAGGAACACCAAUGGCGAAGGCAGCUUCUUGGUCCAUUCCUGACGUUCAUGCACGAAAGCGUGGGGAGCAAACAGGAUUAGAUACCCCCGUAGUCCCUGUCUCUUAUAC